GCAGCCGCGGUAAUACGUAGGGUGCGAGCGUUGCCCGGAAUUACUGGGCGUAAAGAGCUCGUAGGUGGUUUGUCGCGUCGUCUGUGAAAUUCCGGGGCUUAACUCCGGGCGUGCAGGCGAUACGGGCAUAACUUGAGUGCUGUAGGGGAGACUGGAAUUCCUGGUGUAGCGGUGGAAUGCGCAGAUAUCAGGAGGAACACCGAUGGCGAAGGCAGGUCUCUGGGCAGUAACUGACGCUGAGGAGCGAAAGCAUGGGGAGCGAACAGGAUUAGAUACCCUGGUAGUCCAUGCCGUAAACGGUGGGCGCUAGGUGUGAGGGUCUUCCACGACUUUCGUGCCGUAGCUAACGCAUUAAGCGCCCNGCCUGGGGAGUACGGCCGCAAGGCUAAAACUCAAAGGAAUUGACGGGGGCCNGCACAAGCGGCGGAGCAUGUGGAUUAAUUCGAUGCAACGCGAACAACCUUACCUGGGCUUGACAUAUACAAGAUCGGCGUAGAGAUACGUUUUCCCUUGUGGUUCGUAUACAGGUGGUGCAUGGUUGUCGUCAGCUCGUGUCGUGAGAUGUUGGGUUAAGUCCCGCAACGAGCGCAACCCUUGUCUUAUGUUGCCAGCACGUGAUGGUGGGGACUCAUGAGAGACUGCCGGGGUUAACUCGGAGGAAGGUGGGGAUGACGUCAAAUCAUCAUGCCCCUUAUGUCCAGGGCUUCACACAUGCUACAAUGGUCGGUACAACGCGUUGCGAGCCUGUGAGGGUGAGCGAAUCGCUGAAAGCCGGCCUCAGUUCGGAUUGGGGUCUGCAACUCGACCCCAUGAAGUCGGAGUCGCUAGUAAUCGCAGAUCAGCA
rnacentral:rRNA from 1 species